AUGGGCAUGGUGGGCUAGGUGGGCCAUGGGCUAGAGAUGGGCAAAUAUGUGGGCUGCAUGUGGGCCCCACAUGGGCUGCCCACAUUUUUUGGCAGGCAUAAUGAUUGAUAAUGAGAUUGCUUGCACCAUGUACGAGGGCAUAUCCAGGAAUUUUGGUGAACACAGGCAUUCACGCGGUGUUCCUGUAUGGUGGGCUUAACAUGGGCACUGCGUGGGCAGCCCAUGUAGUGGGGUGUAGGUGGGCUGGAUGUGGGCAGCCCAUUAUUUAUUUUUUCACUGUCCAAUGUGUAUGAUAUUACAAGAAACAAGAACUCGCUGUUUAGUCUCAGACUCUCAUGCCUCCAAAAUACACUUCGACGUCGUGAGGAAGUCGCAUAGUUGAUGUUUGUGAGACCAGCUACGGCUGAUAUUGGAUAGUCAAUGUUGUGAUUUUGUCGUAUGAUUGUGUCGCCUGAGCCCGCCCCUGCGCGGGCGACCCGCCGGCGGAGCUCGGCCCACCGGACGGGGCCUGGGGCCGCCUCUGCACCGCCCGGGGCGGUGACCGGCCGACCGGCCGGUCGGCUGUCGGGGCUGCGGCGUCUGGGCGGGCCAGUUGGCGUUCAGACUCUGAGUGGUGUGCGUGUCCAAUAAAGCCUUAUUAAGCCACGGGAAGGUCGGCCUUGGGAAGACCAAGCUGUUCCGGGUGAUCUUCCACGCUGUCAACCUGAACCCGACGGUGACCUGCCAAGAAAAGGAUCUCGAAAAGGCCGUCGGCAAGUGGCUGACAAACUGCCGCGACCGUGACGGCCAGCGAUCAGACCGGGGGCGAGGCCGUUCGCCCGCCCAGUGACUUGUGUCUCGAUGAGCGCAGAAAGAAAUACAGGACUGUGCCUGAUGUAUGUUGUUUUUAUGGGAAUAAAGUGCUGGAAGGAA